AGCUGCCGGCCCCGCGCUGCCCGCGGAGUUCCGGGGCCGCGGCCACGCUUCCGGGGUGCUGCUGCCAGCAGAGCCUCGGUGCGCCCCCAGGUGAGACAAAGCAAAGAGACAGUGAAUGAGACCACAUCACCAGCACUGGAGCUUCCCUCAAUGCAGUGGGGGCCGGGCUCCAAUCUGCAUGGAUGACAUGGCGAAGCAGAGCACCGUUCAAGAGGGCUGUUUCGGAGAUGCUCAAAACAUGUGCUGUCACUUAGCCCCUGCUGCUCCAGGACACUGUCACCCUCAUUUCAUUCAGGAACUUUGCUGAUGGAGGACACACCCCUCAGUGUCAGUCCAGGUCAGCGGAGUCCUGUGGACGCCGGAGCUCCUUGCUUCGCCCCAGGGCAGGUGGUGCCAGCCUGCCGCCGCCCCUGUGCUGAGAUGCCCACCCCGGCGGCCCUUCCCCAGGAGCCACG